rnacentral:rRNA from 1 species
AUUGAACGCUGGCGGCAUGCCUUACACAUGCAAGUCGAACGGUAACAGGUCUUCGGAUGCUGACGAGUGGCGAACGGGUGAGUAAUACAUCGGAACGUGCCUAGUAGUGGGGGAUAACUACUCGAAAGAGUGGCUAAUACCGCAUGAGAUCUACGGAUGAAAGCAGGGGAUCGCAAGACCUUGUGCUACUAGAGCGGCCGAUGGCAGAUUAGGGAGUUGGUGGGAUAAAAGCUUACCAAGCCGACGAGCUGUAGCUGGUCUGAGAGGACGUUCAGCCACACUGGGGCUGGGACACGGCCCAGACUCCGACGGGAGGCAGAAUGGGGGAAUUUUGUACAAUGGGCUAAAGCCUGAUCCAUCAAUGCCGCGUUCAUGAUGAAGGCCUUCUGGUUGUAAACUGCUUUUGUACGGAACGAAAAGCCCCGGGUUAAUACCCUGGGGUCAUGACGGUACCGUAAGAAUAAGCACCGGCUAACUACGUGCCAGCCGCCGCAGUAA